CAGCAGCCACGGUAAUACGUAGGUGGCAAGCGUUGUCCGGAAUUAUUGGGCGUAAAGGGCUCGCAGGCGGUUUCUUGAGUCUGAUGUGAAAGCCCCCGGCUCAACCGGGGAGGGUCAUUGGAAACUGGGAAACUUGAGUGCAGAAGAGGAGAGUGGAAUUCCACGCGUAGCGGUGAAAUGCGUAGAGAUGUGGAGGAACACCAGUGGCGAAGGCGACUCUCUGGUCUGUAACUGACGCUGAGGAGCGAAAGCGUGGGGAGCGAACAGGAUUAGAUACCCCGGUAGUCCCUGUCUCUUAUAC
rnacentral:rRNA from 1 species